rnacentral:rRNA from 1 species
UACAGAGGGCGCGAGCGUUGUCCGGAAUCACUGGGCGUAAAGGGCGCGUAGGUGGCCACCAUAAGGCCGCGGUGAAAGUUCGGGGCUCAACCCCCGGAUCGGCCGCGGCGACUGUGAGGCUUGGGUACUGUAGAGGCAGGUGGAAUUCCGGGUGUAGCGGUGGAAUGCGUAGAGAUCCGGAAGAACACCAGUGGCGAAGGCGGCCUGCUGGGGCAGUGGGAUCGAAAGGUCCCUAUAACCGACACUGAGGCGCGACAGCGUGGGGAGCAAACAGG